UACGGAGGGUGCAAGCGUUGUCCGGAAUCAUUGGGCGUAAAGCGCGUGUAGGCGGCUCGAUAAGUCUGCUGUGAAAGUUCAGGGCUCAACCCUGAAAUGCCGGUGGAAACUGUCGAGCUAGAGUCCGGAAGAGGCGAGUGGAAUUCCUGGUGUAGCGGUGAAAUGCGCAGAUAUCAGGAGGAACACCAAUGGCGAAGGCAGCUCGCUGGGACGGUACUGACGCUGAGACGCGAAAGCGUGGGAAGCAAACAGG
rnacentral:rRNA from 1 species